CCAAACAGUAUCUCAAAUUGCGAUGACAGGCCAAACCCGAAUAAACUGGGUGAUAAACCCGACAAAUCUCGGCCGUUGCAAGUUUUUUCCCCAAUUCUGGAGGGGGUUCCAGAAACAGAAGCAGAUGCAGAAGCAGAAGCUGGGGUUUUCCGCUUCGGCAUAGUUUUUCACUUAACACUUGAAAUUGAAUCUCUCACAUCACUUCUUGGAAUUUAAUUCUCUAAAACCCUUUAAAAUUUUGAAACUCUGACUUGAAAUUUCUUGUAAUCUUUGCAAUCGAAUCAUGAAAUCUAGUUGCUUUUACUGCUAAUUUUUCCUAAUUAUUUUUUGAAUUUGUGAGAAGAUAUAUACACUACCUAAGGUCCGAUCAUGGCGGGAGGGAAUUUCAUGCAGUCAUAUCAUACCUCGUCAAUGUGGUCGUUGUGGAUGGACUUGCAAAUAGCCCUGCAUUCCAGAGAUUCACUGUGAGGACAUCAAAGACGAUUGAGAAUAUUUCUAAUACGGCUGCCCAGAAGAAGCAAGAACUUGCUGAUCAGAUGAAAGAUUUGUCGAAAAAUUUUGAGAAUUUUAAAAAUCAGUGAUUCUUGGCUGUAGUUAGAACCCAUGUUCUACAGAUAGAUUGUAUAAGAGUUUUGAGCUCUCUUUUGGUUUCAUCCUGCUCUGACUUCUGAUGGGCGGGGGCGGUAUUGUAAUUUUGGGAGAUAUGGACAUAAUUUUAUGUUAAUGGAUCAGUAGUCUUUUAUUAAAGUCAAUGACAUUUUGGUUAGUCUUGUAGCAUGUAUCCUAAGAAUGUGGAACCCUGGUUUGAAUGAGUUGGAUCAUCCCGUUUCCAUCCGCUUGCUUAUAAACUUUUGCAAUUUGUACA